rnacentral:rRNA from 1 species
UACGGAGGGAGCUAGCGUUGUUCGGAAUUACUGGGCGUAAAGGGCGCGUAGGCGGCACUGUUAGUCAGGCGUGAAAGUCCUGGGCUCAACCUGGGAACUGCGCUUGAUACGGCAGAGCUAGAGGAUGGAAGAGGGUCGCGGAAUUCCCAGUGUAGAGGUGAAAUUCGUAGAUAUUGGGAAGAACACCGGUGGCGAAGGCGGCGACCUGGUCCAUUACUGACGCUGAGGCGCGACAGCGUGGGGAGCAACAGG